rnacentral:rRNA from 1 species
CCUGGUCCCAUUCCGAACCCAGAAGUUAAGCCCGUAAACGCUGAAAGUACUUGGAGGGAAGCCUCCCGGGAGGAUAGGAACUUGCCAAGC